rnacentral:lncRNA from 1 species
GUAAGUCUUAUGACUAAGUGAUGAUUGAGUCUUAAGUUCUAGUUUAUUGCUGCGUAAAUUUAUCAAAUUAUAUGUGUAAAAUGACGCUCAUUUCUCAAUAGAGAAAGUAGGUCGUUACAUAUAUAAUUACGUGAAUACUAUUAAAAUUAUUAACUAAUGAUAACGUUAUAAGUUUAUCGACUAAUGAGCUGUAUUUAAUAAAAUUGUCAAUUUUCCUGA